CGCGCGCCGAGUAUAAAGGGCACGCGCCGGACGCCACUGGCAGCACUCGCUCCGCACACCCCCACCGCUUCCCAGCAGCUCCUCCCAGCAGAAAGCAGCCCAGCCCCGACCAUGCUCCGCUUCGCCACCGUCCUGAUGCUGGUCCUGCUGUCGCUGCUGCUGCUGGUGCCGGCUGAAGGCUUCCUCGUGUACCGCUCGGGACGCCGUCUGCGCGGCGGCCGCGGGCGCGGCUCCAGCCGCUCCGCCCGCCGCUGCAACUUUGGCAACACCAUCAACCCGGACCCGUUCGCCUUCCCGGGCAGCGUGCCGUUCCCGAGCGUGCCGAUCUGCUGAGUGCGCGCUACACGAGCCAAGCCGAGCCGGCACGGCCGGCUGGGCGGCCGCGGCGCGCCACCGUGCCCCGCUGCACGGUCGGCACGGCCGCGGCUGUCCGGCCGCGCCGCCCCAGGCUGUCCCCGGCCGCCGAUCAGGGGAAGCUGUUCCGAUAACGUGGUGUGAUGUGCGAGCGCAGAUGUAAGCCAUGAGAGUAGAUGAGUGUGGAGACACCAUGACCUCAUGUCAGUACCUGUCCAGCCAGCAGAGUAUCCGUGCUCUCCGCUGCACCCUCACGCGGUGUACAAGGAGGCACGUGAGACGAUAUUAGUGCGGCCUUUGUGUUUUGUGUUCACCCAUAUGACCCGACCGACGCUGUGACCAAAUGUCUGACGAUCAGGGGCGCCCCUGGAACGCCGGCUGGUGAGUCGGUGUUUGAUGUUCUUAUUCGUGUAUAAUGUCAUGCAUACGAGUAUUUAAUGUCGCAUUAUCGAACAAUUUUCAUCGUGAUAAUAUACAUUUAUGGAUCCAUUUAA